GAUUCCCCUAGUAACUGCGAGUGAAGCGGGAAAAGCUCAAAUUUAAAAUCUGGCGGUCUUUGGCCGUCCGAGUUGUAGUCUGGAGAAGCGUCUUCCGCGUUGGACCGUGUACAAGUCUCUUGGAACAGAGCGUCAUAGAGGGUGAGAAUCCCGUCUUUGACACGGACUACCAAUGCUUUGUGAUGCGCUCUCAAAGAGUCGCGUUGUUUGGGAAUGCAGCGCAAAAUGGGAGGUGAAUUCCUUCUAAAGCUAAAUAUUGGCGAGAGACCGAUAGCGAACAAGUACCGUGAGGGAAAGAUGAAAAGCACUUUGGAAAGAGAGUUAAACAGUACGUGAAAUUGCUAAAAGGGAAACGCUUGAAGUCAGUCGCGUCGUCCGGAACUCAGCUUUGCUUCGGCUUAGUGCACUUUCCGGUUGACGGGCCAGCAUCGAUUUUGACCGCUGGAAAAGGGCUGGAGGAAUGUGGCACCUUCGGGUGUGUUAUAGCCUUCAGUCGCAUACAGCGGUUGGGAUCGAGGAACGCAGCACGCCUUAUGGCUGGGGUUCGCCCACNUUCGCGCUUAGGAUGCUGGCAUAAUGGCUUUAAACGACCCGUCUGGAAACACGGNACCAA
rnacentral:rRNA from 1 species